rnacentral:rRNA from 1 species
AGGCAGCAGUGGGGAAUAUUGGACAAUGGGGGCAACCCUGAUCCCAGCCAUGCCGCGUGUGUGAAGAAGGCCUUCGGGUUGUAAAGCACUUUAAGUUGGGGGGAAAGGGUUAUGGCUAAUAUCCAUAAUCUAUGACGUUACCAACAGAAUAAGCACCGGCUAACUCCGUGCCAGCAGCCGCGGUAAUACGGAGGGUGCAAGCGUUAAUCGGAAUUACUGGGCGUAAAGCGCGCGUAGGCGGCUAAGUAAGCUAGAUGUGAAAUCCCCUGGGCUCAACCUGGGCACUGCAUUUAGAACUGCUUAGCUAGAGUGCAGAAGAGGAGUGUGGAAUUUCCCGGUGUAGCGGUGAAAUGCGUAGAGAUCGGAAGGAACAUCAGUGGCGAAGGCGACACUCUGGUCUGACACUGACGCUGAGGUGCGAAAGCGUGGGUAGCAAACAGGAUUAGAUACCCUGGUAGUCCACGCUGUAAACGAUGUCUACUGGCCGUUGGCCUCCUAGAGGGGUUAGUGGCGUAGCUAACGCGAUAAGUAGACCGCCUGGGGAGUACGGCCGCAAGGUUAAAACUCAAAUGAAUUGACGGGGG